ACAACUGCAGCGAGAGAAGAGGCUGGCAGCAUGGGUGGCAGGAGGCUUGGCAGCCUCACAGGAUGCCUGCAAAUACCUUUCACUUAUGCAGUUUGGCAGUGCAGUGGUGCAUGGAGACAGCGUCUUGGGCCUGGCACCCACAGCCACUUAGGAAGUUGGAGUCCUGGAGAGGAGAACACAGAACGUGGACAACUAGCUGUCAAAUUGCAGUAAAAGUUGGUUCAGGAAAAGUGGAAGCUACCCAGAUGUCUACCAAUUGAGAUGAACCAUCCAAUCUCCUGCCUCGAGUAUUGAAGCCUGGCUACUGUGACUGUGGGGAAGGGAUUAAUGGUCUCAGCAUUCAAAGCUUCUAUUCUGGAAUAGAACAGCUAGCAUACUACCAAGACUUUUCAAGGAGCAAGAAUGGAGCUCCCUGGAGAACUGACUGAACAUGGCUUCAGAGGCAGUAUCCAUGUCACAUUUCAAAGGCCAGAUCUUUCCCAGGGCUUAAGCUGUUCCUUGGAUACUUUUGCUGAUGGUUUACACAUCUUCUUCCCACAUUAUAUUGUAACUUUCUU
rnacentral:lncRNA from 1 species